CCGAGGGUCGACCUAGGAGAGGGGUGUCGAUAGGGCACUGACCGCAUCAUCCUCUCUUCGUCUCCUCACUUCCCCCAUUCUCUCCUUGUUCCCCUAACCCUAGCUUUUCUCUACGCCGCCGCCACCACCCGUCCUCCCGCCCCUAGCGCCGCCACCAUGCCUUCUCUCCUCCCGUUACUCACCACCACUGGCCCUCCUCGUCCUUGCCUUCGGUUGCGAUGCUUCUGUCUCGUCAAGCUCACCGCCCCCGUCCUGGGCCUCGAAGCGUCGUCGGGAGGAGCAAGCGGACUGCCUCUCGCGCGCCGUCACCAUCGCCUGGAGAAGGCUCGCGCGAUGGUCGCCGGCAUGCAUCCUCUCCGUGUGGCACAGGUUGAACUCGCAUCCCUCUUCCAUCCCUCUCAUCUCUCUCUGCCCCUUCCGUUGCUGCUCCCCUUUCUCCUGUACAAGUGCGGGCACUUUUUGGUCGGAGCCGAGCUCCCGGUCAUGGCCGGCGAGGCCAUGGGAGCUGCUCCCCUCGUUGUUAUACAGGUGCGGGCACCCACACACACACAUGCUCCCCUCGCUCCUGGAAGCCAAGCGGGGCCUUAAUCGCAAAUUAAUUUACAUCAACAAUUGUUCUGUGUGCAUCUAGAUCCACCUCGACAUCAUGUCUUCUCACAACAAGGUUCUUAGAUUUGGUGGUGGCUUCGCAGGCUCCGGUGACCAUCCAAAUCACCUCUUCAGUCCAUCUAUCUUCUCAAGGGGGGCGCAGGUCACUUGUUUCAAUGAGGACAUGCACGACAUCACGCUCCAUUUCCAGAUCAUAAGCUUCUCUAAAUAGGUAUAUAACCACAAGGUUUCACUUGUUACUUAUUGCCAAGAUACUCACAACUCACAAGGUUUGAUGGGGCUUCCAAACAAACUUAAGUCGUCUAAGUUCGUUCUGAAAUGUGAACAAUGUUUGGUUGGUGACUCUUGUCUACAGUUUUGGAGUUCUUUGCGUCGUACUGACUGACUAAAAAUUCAAUUGUUUGUGUUGAGCUCUGUUGAAAACUAUCUAAUUGAGAGACAUAGCUUGGUUUGUGUUCCCUAUUCCUCACUUCUGGAUUUGGGCAUUGGACCGAAUUUUGCAGCAAAAUGUUACUCAAACAAAGACAUUGGAAUAGAAAUCUUACCCACAAAACCGGGGGUGGGGGCUUCUUGCAAGGCUGUGUAGGAAUCUUGAGGGCUGGUCUUCGGCAAGGUCACAACACGUGUGAGCUCCUCCUUUUGAUAUCUUGACCAUGAUGUAAUUUGGAUUUUAUAUGGCUGCUCCUUAUCAAUGUGGUUUCAAAUUAUUCUGCUACUCCAAAAGGUUCUAUUUGCAGGUAUUGUAAUGUUUGCUUGCACCUAGCUCCUAAACACACAUGGAUCCCGCAUUUUAUUUCUUUUGUUGUCUCGUGUAUUUUCAUAUGAUGAUAUAGUUCAUCAUUGAUCUGAAUGCUUAAAUGAAACUCACUCCGGGUGAGAACAAGGUAUACUUUUUGUGAUGCAUGGUGGAUUGUCCUUUUAGCUUCUUAGUCAUUGUGUAUGGAUGGUUUGGUUAAUGCCAGUUUUAAUCGUUGACAUGAUCUUGGAGGUUUGGUUCAAUUAAAAAUAUCAUGUCAUGUUGCUAACAUAGAUGCUAUUUUAUUAUAACUACCCCUUUCU
rnacentral:lncRNA from 1 species